CCUUUGAUAAACUUGACGACAGGAGAUGAAGAGAAAGUUUGGUGUCAAAAGACAAAGAAUUGUGGACCAUGUGCCUCUGGAGGACCCACCUGGACAUCAGAGAGCAAAAAAGUGCAGAGUGGGGGUCCAGAUGUCUUCUGAUUAUGAGCCAACACAAGAGAUUAUGUUGGACCUUGAAGCAGUUGGGGAGGACUACCACAGCUUUUAAGAGCAUAUAAACGCCAUAAACAAUUAGUUGUGCCGUCGUCAGCCAGAUAUUAGUCAUAUAAUGGACAGGAUGAGGCAAACUGUCUAUAAGAGGGUAGAGCAAAUGGGAAGGCCAACUGAGGAUGUGAUGGAGAUGUUCCCAUUUCUUUGGGUGUCAGAGCUGGUGAGUAGCACAGUCUUAUAGUAGUAUUACUAUAAUGUGAGUUCAGUGCUGUUCAGGAGUAAGUUCUAUAACCAUUUAUUGGUAACUACAAUUUUCUCUGUUGUUUUGUUUGUUCAUUUGUAGAUGCAUCAUGAAAUGAAGUUGCGGUUCGGACUGGACUUAGAGC